rnacentral:rRNA from 1 species
UGCGUAGGCGGAAAAUUAAGUCAGUGAUGAAAUCCUGCAGCUCAACUGUAGAACUGUCAUUGAUACUGAUUUUCUUGAAUUUAGUUGAGGUAGGCGGAAUGUGUAAUGUAGCGGUGAAAUGCUUAGAUAUUACACAGAACACCGAUUGCGAAGGCAGCUUACUAAGCUAACAUUGACGCUGAGGCAAGAAAGCGUGGGGAGCGAACAGGAUUAGAUACCCUGGUAGUCC